rnacentral:misc_RNA from 1 species
CAAUGAAUACUACACAGCUAUAAAAAAUAACAUCAUUUCACUUGCAGCAAUAUGGAAGGAUAAUUUUACACUUUAUGUCUUAGUCUGUUUUGUGCUGCUGUAACAAAAUACCUGAGACUGGGUAAUUUAUAAAAAAUAGAAAAUUAUUUUCUGAUAGUUCUGUAGGCAAGGAAGUCAAUGAUCAAGAUACCAGCAUGUAAUGAGGGCCUUCUGUUGCACUCUCAGAUAGCAUUAGUUUAAAUGGCAAGAGAAAGGCAGAACUCUAUUUGAGAGGGCUGUUGCAACCUUACAGCAUGAUACAUCUUGUGAAAUAUGGUUUUGAACAUUUUUAUUAAAAAUGUAGGCAUCAAAAUCUCUACCAUUUGUGUCAUGUUAUAAUAAUAACUAUAAAACUGCAUUAUUCAGAAUAUGUAACAAUAAAAAUUAAUAUUAAAAAGU